UGCGUAGGCGGGCAGAUAAGUCAGUGGUGAAAUCUCUAGGCUUAACCUAGAAACUGCCGUUGAUACUAUUUGUCUUGAAUAUCAUGGAGGUAAGCGGAAUAUGUCAUGUAGCGGUGAAAUGCUUAGAUAUGACAUAGAACACCGAUAGCGAAGGCAGCUACUACAUGUUCAUUGACGCUGAGCACGAAAGCGUGGGGAGCAAACA
rnacentral:rRNA from 1 species